rnacentral:rRNA from 1 species
UACGGAGGGUGCAAGCGUUAAUCGGAAUUACUGGCGUAAAGCGCACGCAGGUGGCUGAGUCAGUCGAUUGUGAAAGCCCUGGGCUUAACCUGGGAAUUGCAGUCGAUACUACUCAGCUAGAGUAUGGGAGAGGGCAGUGGAAUUCCCGGUGUAGCGGUGAAAUGCGUAGAGAUCGGGAGGAACAUCUGUGGCGAAGGCGACUGCCUGGACCAGCACUGACACUGAGGCACGAAAGCGUGGGGAGCAAACAGG